rnacentral:rRNA from 1 species
GACCAAGGAGUCUAACAUGUGCGCGAGUCGUAGGGUUACGCUCAAAGCCCGAAGGCGCAAUGAAAGUGAAGGUCGGCCUCGAUUGCCGUUACCUAGGCGGGAUCCGUUCGGGCUUACCGGUCGUUCGCGGCUGAGCCCGGCGGCGCACCGCCGGCCCGUCUCGACCGCAUCGCCGGUGAGGCGGAGCGAGAGCGUACACGUUGGGACCCGAAAGAUGGUGAACUAUGCCCGGGCAGGACGAAGCCAGAGGAAACUCUGGUGGAGGUCCGUAGCGAUUCUGACGUGCAAAUCGAUCGUCGGACCUGGUAUAUAGGGGCGAAAGACUAAUCUCCUUGCUACGAGUUGGUUCCU